GUGGGGAAUUUUGGACAAUGGGCGCAAGCCUGAUCCAGCAAUGCCGCGUGCAGGAAGAAGGCCUUCGGGUUGUAAACUGCUUUUGUACGGAACGAAACGGUCCUGGCUAAUACCUGGGGCUAAUGACGGUACCGUAAGAAUAAGCACCGGCUAACUACGUGCCAGCAGCCGCGGUAAUACGUAGGGUGCGAGCGUUAAUCGGAAUUACUGGGCGUAAAGCGUGCGCAGGCGGUGCUGUAAGACAGGCGUGACAUCCCCGGGCUCAACCUGGGAAUUGGUCUUGUGAAUGCAGUGCUGGAGUGCUGCAGAGGGGGAUGGAAUUCCGCGUGUAGCAGUGAAAUGCGUAGAUAUGCGGAGGAACACCGAUGGCGAAGGCAAUCCCCUGGGCCUGCACUGACGCUCAUGCACGAAAGCGUGGGGAGCAAACAGGAUUAGAAACCCUGGUAGUCC
rnacentral:rRNA from 1 species